rnacentral:rRNA from 1 species
UACGUAGGUGGCAAGCGUUGUCCGGAUUUACUGGGUGUAAAGGGCGCGUAGGCGGGAGAACAAGUCAGAUGUGAAAUGUGGGGGCUUAACCCUCAAGCUGCAUUUGAAACUGUACUUCUUGAGUAUCGGAGAGGCAGGCGGAAUUCCUAGUGUAGCGGUGAAAUGCGUAGAUAUUAGGAGGAACACCAGUGGCGAAGGCGGCCUGCUGGACGACAACUGACGCUGAGGCGCGAAAGCGUGGGGAGCAAACAGGAUUAGAUACCCU